AACGAACGCUGGCGGCGUGCUUAACACAUGCAAGUCGAACGCGAAAGUUUUCUUCGGAAAACGAGUAGAGUGGCGCACGGGUGAGUAACGCGUAAGUAAUCUACCCUGGCAUCUGGGAUAACCCACCGAAAGGUGUGCUAAUACCGGAUACGUUGAUUUAUCAAGAAAGGUGGCCUCUUCAUGAAAGCUACCGUGCUAGGAGGAGCUUGCGUACCAUUAGCUAGUUGGUGGGGUAACGGCCUACCAAGGCGACGAUGGUUAGCGGGGUCUGAGAGGAUGAUCCGCCACACUGGAACUGGAACACGGACCAGACUCCUACGGGAGGCAGCAGUGAGGAAUAUUGCGCAAUGGGGGGAAAACCCUGACGCAGCGACGCCGCGUGGAUGAUGAAGGCCUUCGGGUCGUAAAAUCCUGUCAGAUGGGAAGAAAUGCCAUAUCGCUAAUAUCGUUAUGGUUUGACGGUACCAUCAAAGGAAGCACCGGCUAACUCCGUG
rnacentral:rRNA from 1 species